rnacentral:piRNA from 1 species
UGGAAGGAAUGUCCCUCCUUUGGUGA